rnacentral:snRNA from 1 species
GUGCUCAUUUUGGCAGUACAUGUACUAAAAUUGGAACAAUACAGAGAUUAGCAUGGUCUCUGCACAAAGAUGACACACAAAUUCAUGACAUGUUCCAUAUUUUU